rnacentral:tRNA from 1 species
GCCUACGUAGUGUAGUGCUAAGCACGGCAGACCGGAUAUCUGUAAGUGCGGGUGCGAGUCCCGCCUGAGGUU